AUUUUAAGGAUUUUGUGGCAUUCUUAUCUGCAUUUAGUGCUAAAGCAAGUCUGGAACAGAAAGUAGGACUUAUUUUCAAGGUAUACGACUCAGAUGGUAAUGGAAAAGUAUCUUUCAAUGAUAUAUUAGAAGUCCUUCAAGAUUUGUCAGGUUCUUUCAUGUCUGAUGAGCAAAGAGAGCAAGUGCUGUGCCAAGUUUUGAAAGAGGCAGCUUACACAAGGG
rnacentral:misc_RNA from 1 species